UGUAAGACUGGGAUAACUCCGGGAAACCGGGGCUAAUACCGGAUAGUUCUUUUCCUCGCAUGAGGAAAAGUGGAAAGGCGGCUUCGGCUGCCACUUACAGAUGGACCCGCGGCGCAUUAGCUAGUUGGUGAGGUAACGGCUCACCAAGGCAACGAUGCGUAGCCGACCUGAGAGGGUGAUCGGCCACACUGGGACUGAGACACGGCCCAGACUCCUACGGGAGGCAGCAGU
rnacentral:rRNA from 2 species